rnacentral:misc_RNA from 1 species
UGUGUCUGUGUGUGAAGAGUUAUUUUGCAGUAUUAAGAGGCCUGCUUUUCACCAUAUUUUGAUGAUACCCCAUCCUGCUGAAUUGUCCAUCUUCUUCAUCAUGUCUGACAUAUCAGUUCAAUUUGUCCUGUGAGCUUUCUCAGCAAGCUUUGUAGAUAUUAGGUGUUUGUUAUCUAUCCAGUAAAACUGAUCCAGUAUUUUUUAACAUAUUUGGGCGAAAAUUUUGUUUUGAAAUUAUGAUUGCUAUUACAAGUGGACUAUUUAUUAUAAUUAAAAUCAACAUCAAUGAAUUGAAAAAAAAACACCUUAGAAGCAAUAUGUCACAGAAUGGGCAGUGAAGACUCAUCUUGAAAACAUUUGUACUUUGUUCGGUGAUAUGAAAUGCAAUGUUAAUAAGAAUAACUAUUUGUUACAAAUACUUGUAAAUGUUACUGGAUUACAUAAAUCUUCUCUUGUACAGUUCCGAAAAAAGAUAAUGUGUCAUGACCCUUGAACUCUCCACUGGAGAACACCACAAUAUGGCUUACUUGAGUUAUUUAAGGAUCAACUGAAGAGCAAACUUGACAGUCUGUCAGAGGGUGUAAGAGAAGUUUGUGAUCUAUAUGUAUGUAAAGAGUUGUGUGAAAGAGGAGAGAAACCCUGCAAUAAAAUAUCAGAUUACACAUU